AGGAUUAACGCUGGCGGCGUGCAUGAAACAUGCAAGUCGAGCGCGGUGUGAUGCGGGGUAACCCAAUUCACAUCUAGCGGCGAACGGGUGAGUAACACGUGAGCAACCUACCUUUGAGUUGGGGAUAGCCCUGGGAAACCAGGAUUAAUACCCGAUGUGGUCACAACAGGACAUCCUGAUGUGAGUAAAGGCGUAAGCCGCUCAAUGACGGGCUCGCGGCCUAUUAGCUUGUUGGUGGGGUAACGGCCUACCAAGGCGAUGAUGGGUAGCUGGUCUGAGAGGACGAUCAGCCACACUGGGAUUGAGAACGGCCCAGACUCCUACGGGGGGCAGCAGUGAGGAAUUUUCGUCAAUGGGGGCAACCCUGAACGAGCAACGCCGCGUGCAGGAAGAAGGUUUUCGGAUCGUAAACUGCUUUUCUCGGGGAAGAGAACGGACGGUACCCGAGGAAUCAGCCCCGGCUAACUACGUGCCAGCAGCCGC
rnacentral:rRNA from 1 species